UACGGGGGGGGCUAGCGUUAUUCGGAAUCAUUGGGCGUAAAGGGCGCGUAGGCGGCGCGGUAAGUCAAAGGUGAAAUCCCUCGGCUCAACUGAGGAACUGCCUUUGAAACUGCCGUGCUUGAGUCCGGGAGGGGGUAGCGGAAUUCCCAGUGUAGCGGUGAAAUGCGUAGAUAUUGGGAGGAACACCAGUGGCGAAGGCGGCUACCUGGACCGGUACUGACGCUGAUGCGCGAAAGCGUGGGGAGCAAACAGGAUUAGAUACCCUGGUAGUCCACGCUGUAAACGAUGGGUGCUCGGUGUCGCGGGUAUCGACCCCUGCGGUGCCUUAGCUAACGCGUUAAGCACCCCGCCUGGGGAGUACGGUCGCAAGGCUGAA
rnacentral:rRNA from 1 species